CAAAAAACACCAAAGGCCUAGAAGUUUGGACUAAAUAAUAUCCUAGGGGAAAAAGGCAUGAAUUAAAAGCUUGUCUGCAAUGAACUCUGGGUACAAACACUGUAAAGUCUCAAAAAAGAACAUCCUCAUAUCCUUAAAGCGUUCACGAAGGUUUAUUUCCCAACAGUUCCAAAGUGAAGCGAAAUUCGCCAUGAUGUACGUGAAAAUCAUGAAAUUUGCCCAAACACCGACAGCUUUUAAGGUCGGUCAGGUGUGUGGAAGCAGUCCGAAAGGUUACAGGUAAUGCAGGUCACACAGACGGGUCUUGAGUCAUGCGGAACUGGAGACCUUUAGUUUUUUUUUUGGGUAUCACUUCUGGGAUCUAAGCGUCUUCUCCAAAAGUCUCCCCAAACUACCAAAGUGAAGUUACUUAGCUCCCUCUGUGUGAAAACAACGGUAUCACAUGCCAUCUACACUGUGAAGCUCAUGGUGAAUGGUGGAAAGGUGAAGGAAGCUCUAUCUAUAAUAUAAAUAUAAUCACAUGUACCAUUUCAAAUCUUUUUUUCAGACAUCCAUUUGGUAAGUUGUUCAUAAACAUUUUGUCGGAUAAAGCGAAACAAAUUGAUUGAGUGCGAGUGACAAAAGAUGAGGUCUGCAGGAACCCAUACAGAAGAUCAUAUAUAGCCAAUAGUGUGUGCUUGGUGUCUGUGAGUGUUGGAAAAACAAAAAGGUAAGAUUGCAGUUUGCGUUCACACCACUGCUACAUCCUUCAGCUGUUUUAGCCGAGCCAGCAGACAUCACACCUGGUUUAGUGAAACAUUCCAAUUACAAAGUGUUCUCAUGGUCGUACUCAGCAACUUGUCAUCAACGAGGAGCUGAAGGACCAAUCAUGAGUUUUGAUGGCGAAGCUCGGAAAGAGAGUUCUGGUAGUUAUCCGGUGAGGUUUUAUGUAGACACGUCAGAAACUGUUCCCUUGGCCAAUACGUGUAUAAUACAAAUACAAAAGUGUUCAUUUGUUCAGCCGUAGUAAAGGCUUUUUUUUUAGUCAGCAUUGCGAUGAAUCCCAGGGACACUGGGUUUGCCAGCUGAGAACGCACCGCGGAUGGUGGGAGGAAACCGGAGAACCUGGACGGAACCCAUACAGACACCAAGAUCCACAUAGACAUUAAACCCAAUUUAGGACGCAACCAGGAAACGGAAAGCUGCAAUACACCAACGCUACCCAUCGUGCCACUCCAUACUUAACCAGUGUAUAUAAAAUGGGGGAAAAAAAUUGCUAAUUUGCUCAGGAAAUAAGGCAGUGCAGAUUGUGUGGUUGAGGAAAGCAGGAAAAAGUGGUGCUGAUGUAAGCAAACGGCCGAUUCUGAUUGUUGAUUUGGCAUCGAUCCAUGUAUAGUCCCACCCCGACUCGAUUCGACGACCAGAGAAAAAAAAUCUUUUAACGGGUGUUCUUUGUUUCAUAGUCAGUGGUAAAUUCACCACAGGAGCAAUAGACACCAGUAAGAAGCUAAUUAUGAAAUUGGGCUUUAACAUAAAAGAGACAGAUGGUUGUUGACCGGCACAAGUUGGGUAAUGAAUAUAAAGAAUUAUAUGGGCAGUUGAAACAACAAUUAAGCCUCUUGGGGAUUCAUGGGCUUGUCAAGUUUUAAAACAGCAAGCUGUUUGGAAGCGUUUCGUGAAAGAAUUGCUUAGAAUGCAGUGCCUGAACUUCACCAGGUGUCACUCGAACUGCGUUUAGUUAAGUGCGCUCGAAUCAAAGGCCAAAUUUGAACGCUGCGGCCACACACACUAACGCCAACGACACAAUGUCGUUUCAUAUCAACGAUGCAUCCCGACUGCAGCAAACCUACAGUAGGAUAUUUGAACACAAAUCCAUUGCCUAAUUGCAAACAAGAUUGACUCAAGAGUAGAUUAACUGCAAGCUACUUGAUUUAGAAUCUCGGCCGGAAAAAUGUCUACGGAAUAAAACACGACCCCUUCAACACACAAAACUGUACUCAUCAGGUACUUAACAAAGCCUUCAUGACCUCAGUCGUUCGUGUUAGAUCAGAGGAAACAAAAAUGUGCAGUUGAUUAGAGUCUCCAGAACUGGGAUUGAGAACUUCUGUGGUAGAUGGGGCAGCAUUACGCUAAUGCCUGGCCUGGGGCUGAUGAAUACGUGAGGCCCCACAUUUCUGAAAUGUUUCCUCAGAGCACAUGCAACAGUUUGUCCCGUUUGUCGUGAUGAUUUUCAUACAUUGACUUAUGCUACACCAAGAACAUAAAGCAACUGUCCCACGCUAUAUAUUUCUUCAGUUCUCAUCACAGCAAGUUGAGAACAAGUUUGAUGGUGUCACCACCAGUGACUACAACCUGAUAUACACAUGUAAAUGCCAAAGUAACAAACUGAUCACCAUUUUAUCCAGUAAUGAAUCAAUGAUGAUAAUUUGGUAUCCAUCAAACCAAUCACUGAUUUACAAUUUUUAUUCAAUGACCAAACACGAAUCACCAGUUUUAUAGAUUAAACCAAUCCCUGAUUAUUUUUAUCCAAUAAUUUCUGAUCAUUUUAUUCAAUGCCAAAUCACUGAACACCUUUUUUAUCCCAUGACCAAUUACUGAUCGCCAUUUUAUCCAAUAGCCCAUCACCAGUGUUCCCUGUGAACUCAUCACCACUUUUACCAAUAAACCAUCUCUGAGCCUCAAUGUUACCAAUGAUGUUUGCUCACCGUUAAUUUUUUGAGCAAUUAAUUUUAUUUACUACAAACCUAUUACUAAACACCAUUGCGUCUUUCCCAACAACAAAUCAAUGACCACCUUGUUUCCACCAAUCACUGAUUGUCUCAUCUGAGCACUUCUGCUGUAUUGUUCUUAAACUCUUUUUGAUUAUAUAAGUUGCUCCAUCUCUAACCCUUUGUCAUGCUUAUACCCUGAUUGCUCACUCCUAACAGUUGAUAGGAAAUGAAUAGGGAUUGAUAGGGAUGAAAAAUAUAUAUUUUUAAAUAAUGUAUUUGGAGAGCCCAACCUUGCCUGAGCAUUCUGCAUUUGAAAUACAGCUUGUGCUUGGAAAGCUUGCUGAUAAACUGUAACAAAUAACGAGUUAUUCCUAUCUUGGUCACGGUGGAGUGUGUCAUUUCCGGUAUGAGACAUCUAGAAUGGCUCAUCAGUCAGCAGAGGCUAUUAUUCCUCUCUUUCUUUUUUUUUUCCCCAGAGAGAAAAGGUGUUUGCAUGUUGCUGAUGCCUUUAGGCUUGUUCCAAUAUAACAAAUUUUAUAGCAUUGUAAUGAACUCGUUUUAAAUUGUGUAUUAUGACUGUAUUGUUUCGUUGGGUAAAAUAAACCCAAACAUCUGUUCUUGUU